AAUCAACGCUGGCGGCGUGCCUAACACAUGCAAGUCGCACGAGAAAGGGGAGCAAUCCCUGAGUAAAGUGGCGCACGGGUGAGUAACACGUGAAUCAUCUACCUCCGAGUGGGGAAUAACUGAGAGAAAUACUUAGCUAAUACCGCAUAACACUUACGAGUCAAAGCAGCAAUGCGCUUGGAGAGGAGUUCGCGGCCGAUUAGUUAGUUGGCGGGGUAAGUAGGCCCGACCAA
rnacentral:rRNA from 1 species